GAUGAACGCUGGCGGCGUGCUUAACACAUGCAAGUCGAACGGGAAACCUUUUAUUGAAGCUUCGGCAGAUUUAGCUGGUUUCUAGUGGCGGACGGGUGAGUAACGCGUGGGUAACCUGCCUUAUACAGGGGGAUAACAACCAGAAAUGGUUGCUAAUACCGCAUAAGCGCACAGGACCGCAUGGUCCGGUGUGAAAAACUCCGGUGGUAUAAGAUGGACCCGCGUUGGAUUAGCUAGUUGGGAGGGUAACGGCCUACCAAGGCGACGAUCCAUAGCCGGGCUGAGAGGGUGAACGGCCACACUGGGACUGAGACACGGCCCAGACUCCUACGGGAGGCAGCAGUGGGGAAUAUUGCACAAUGGGGUAAACCCUGAUGCAGCGACGCCGCGUGAAGGAAGAAGUAUCUCGGUAUGUAAACUUCUAUCAGCAGGGAAGAUAGUGACGGUACCUGACUAAGAAGCCCCGGCUAACUACGUG
rnacentral:rRNA from 1 species